rnacentral:rRNA from 1 species
AUUGAACGCUGGCGGCAGACGUAACAAAUGCAAGUCGAGCGGAGCGGCAGACGGGUGAGUAAUGCCUAGGACUCUGACUGGUAGUGGGGGAUAACGUCCGGAAACGGGCGCUAAUACCGCAUACUAUCAGAUGAUCCUAGGUCUGAUUAGCUAGGUGGUGGGGUAAAGGCCUACCAAGGCGACGAUCCGUAACGAGUCUGAGAGGAUGAUCAGUCACACUGGAACUGAGACACGGUCCAGACUCCUACGGGAGGCAGCAGUGGGGAAUAUUGGACAAUGGGCGAAAGCCUGAUCCAGCCAUUCCGCGUGUGUGAAGAAGGUCUUCGGAUUGUAAAGCACUUUAAGUUGGGAGGCGUUACCCACAGAACAACCACCUGCUAACUUCGUGCCAGCCGCCGCGUUAAUAC